UCCCUGCCUCACUCUAGUUACAUGUACACUCUGCAAUGUAGCUGGCUGAGACAAGAGACC
rnacentral:pre_miRNA from 2 species